AUUGAACGCUGGCGGCAGGCCUAACACAUGCAAGUCGAGCGGCAGCGGGAAGUAGCUUGCUACUCUGCCGGCGAGCGGCGGACGGGUGAGUAAUGUCUGGGAAACUGCCUGAUGGAGGGGGAUAACUACUGGAAACGGUAGCUAAUACCGCAUAACGUCGCAAGACCAAAGAGGGGGACCUUCGGGCCUCUUGCCAUCAGAUGUGCCCAGAUGGGAUUAGCUAGUAGGUGGGGUAACGGCUCACCUAGGCGACGAUCCCUAGCUGGUCUGAGAGGAUGACCAGCCACACUGGAACUGAGACACGGUCCAGACUCCUACGGGAGGCAGCAGUGGGGAAUAUUGCACAAUGGGCGCAAGCCUGAUGCAGCCAUGCCGCGUGUAUGAAGAAGGCCUUCGGGUUGUAAAGUACUUUCAGCGGGGAGGAAGGUGCUGAGGUUAAUAACCUCAGCAAUUGACGUUACCCGCAGAAGAAGCACCGG
rnacentral:rRNA from 1 species